rnacentral:rRNA from 1 species
CAGUAGCCGCGGGAAUACGAAGGGUGCAAGCGUUACUCAGAAUUACUGGGCGUAAAGCGUGCGUAGGUGGUGGUUUAAGUCCGUUGUGAAAGCCCUGGGCUCAACCUGGGAAUUGCAGUGGAUACUGGGUCACUAGAGUGUGGUAGAGGAUAGUGGAAUUUCCGGUGUAGCAGUGAAAUGCGUAGAGAUCGGAAGGAACAUCUGUGGCGAAGGCGACUAUCUGGGCCAACACUGACACUGAGGCACGAAAGCGUGGGGAGCAAACAGGAUUAGAUACCCCUGUAGUCCCUGUCUCUUAUAC